rnacentral:rRNA from 1 species
AUGAUACGCGAGGAACCGUUACCUGGGCUCAAAUGUAUGUUGACGUAUUCUGAAAGGGAUACUUCUUCGGACAAUAUACAAGGUGCUGCAUGGUUGUCGUCAGCUCGUGCCGUGAGGUGUCGGGUUAAGUCCCAUAACGAGCGCAACCCCCUAUCAUUAGUUGCCAUCAGGUCAAGCUGGGGACUCUAAUGAAACUGCCUACGCAAGUAGUGAGGAAGGUGGGGAUGACGUCAAAUCAGCACGGCCCUUACGUCCAGGGCUACACACGUGCUACAAUGGCCGGUACAAAGGGCAGCUACCUGGUGACAGGAUGCUAAUCUCAAAAGCCGGUCUCAGUUCGGAUCGGAGUCUGCAACCCGACUCCGUGAAGCUGGAAUCGCCAGUAAUCGCGCAUCAGCCAUGGCGCGGUGAAUACGUUCCCGGGCCUU